UACGAAGGGGGCGAGCGUUAUUCGGAUUUAUUGGGCGUAAAGGGCGUGUAGGCGGCUGGGGAAGUCCGGUGUAAAAACGCUGCCGCUCAACGGAGCGAUGCCGCUGGAAACUCCCCAACUUGAGAGACAUAGAGGUGAGCAGAAUACCUGGUGUAGCGGUGGAAUGCGCAGAUAUCAGGAAGAACACCCGUGGCGAAGGCGGUUCUCUGGGACGGUACUGACGCUGAGACGCGAAAGCGUGGGGAGCGAACAGG
rnacentral:rRNA from 1 species